rnacentral:rRNA from 1 species
GACGAACGCUGGCGGCGUGCCUAAUACAUGCAAGUAGAACGAGUUGCGGACGGGUGAGUAAUGUUGGGUAAACUGCCGGAUGGCGGGUGAUCACUACUGGAAACGGUAUCUAAUCCAGCAUACCAUCGGAUUUGCCCAGAUGGGAUUAGAUAGUCGGUGGGUUAACGGCUCACCUAGGUGACGAUCCCUAGAUGGUCUGAGAGGAUGACCAGCCACACUGUGACUGAGACACGGUCCAGAUGCCUACGGGAGGCAGCAGUGGGGAAUAUUGCACAAUGGGCGCAAGCCUGAUGCAGCCAUGCCGCGUGUAUGAAGAAGGCCUUCGGGUGGUAAAGUACUUUCGGCGAGGAAGCGUUACUCACAGAAGAAGCACCGGCUAACUCCGUGCCAGCAGCCGCGGUAAUAC